GUAAAGACUCCAGGAUUUAUUUCUGGCUUAGUUGUGAGGUGAAAGACAAAGAAGAGAUAAGGAUAAUUCCAAAAUGUUUUCCCAGAACAAAUGGAAGAACACAGUUGCCAUAUAUAUGAUGAGCAAAAUGGAUAGUGGGGAAGAGGUAGUAAUUAAUGAAGAUUUUCAUUUUCACUUCAUUAAGUUUCAAAUAUUUAUACGACAUCCAAUUGCAGAAGUCACACAGACAUCUCAUGUUUAGAGAUGAGUCCACUGAGGCACAGAGAAGUUGAGUAACUUGUUGAAGAACCACAAUCCUACCCAAAUCAAUGAAAAUAGAAGCACCAGCACAUGAGUACGUAUGCCACGGUGGGUCUGGAAACAUCUUCUCAGUUGGGACGCCUGGCUCCUGUUGUAGAACAGGGUAUGAAAGGUUAAUCCACUAAAUGCCUAACAAUUUUUGUCCAAAAUGUCUACUUAAUGGCACUAAAGUAGCUGGGACAAAUUGUGCAGUUACCAGUAGAAUUUAAUGAAGUAAAUGCAAACCAUCU
rnacentral:lncRNA from 1 species